CCUUUCCUCCUAGAUAGGGCCCUACCAAAUUCACGGCCAUGAAAAAUGCAUCAUGGACCAUGAAAUCUGGUCUCUCCCAGUGAAAUAUGGUCUUUUAGGUGCUUUUACCCUAUACUAUACAGAUUUCAUGGGGGAGACCAGUGUUUCUCAAAUUGGGGGUCCUGCCCAAAAGGAAGUUGCAGGAGGAGUCACAAGGUUAUUUUAGGGGGAGUCACAGUAUUACCA